UGCUCCUGCCGUUAAAGACCCCAUCUUUAACCAAGGUUGACCUCGGAUCAGGUAGGAAUACCCGCUGAACUUAAGCAUAUCAAUAAGCGGAGGAAAAGAAACCAACAGGGAUUGCCCUAGUAACGGCGAGUGAAGCGGCAACAGCUCAAAUUUGAAAUCUGGCUUCGGCCCGAGUUGUAAUUUGUAGAGGAUGCUUUUGGUGAGGUGCCUUCUGAGUUCCCUGGAACGGGACGCCAGAGAGGGUGAGAGCCCCGUAUAGUCGGCCACCGAUCCUCUGUAAAGCUCCUUCGACGAGUCGAGUAGUUUGGGAAUGCUGCUCAAAAUGGGAGGUAUAUCUCUUCUAAAGCUAAAUAUAGGCCAGAGACCGAUAGCGCACAAGUAGAGUGAUCGAAAGAUGAAAAGCACUUUGAAAAGAGGGUUAAAUAGCACGUGAAAUUGUUGAAAGGGAAGCGCUUGUGACCAGACUUGUGCCGGGCUGAUCAUCCAGUGUUCUCACUGGUGCACUCGACCCGGCUCAGGCCAGCGUCGGUUUUCGCGGGGGGAUAAAAGCUUCGGGAACGUGGCACCUCCGGGUGUGUUAUAGCCCGUUGCUUAAUACCCCCGUGGAGACCGA
rnacentral:rRNA from 1 species